rnacentral:rRNA from 1 species
CGGAUUGAAGGCUGAAAUUCGCCUUCAUGAAGCUGGAAUUGCUAGUAAUGGCAGGUCAGCAUACUGCCGUGAAUACGUUCCCGGGCCUUGUACACACCGCCCGUCACACCAUGAGAGUCGGGAACACCCGAAGUCCGUAGCCUAACCGCAAGGGGGGCGCGGCCGAAGGUGGGUUCGAUAAUUGGGGUGAAGUCGUAACAAGGUAAC